AUUCAUUUUCCUGGGGGCAUACUCAGCAAAUCUAUAGAACAGCAACUAUAACAAGGUUGUAACUGUUCUUGAACCCAGUGGUGCAAGUCCUGAGGCUCUUGUAUCUUCUACCUGAUGGCAGCGGUGAGAAAGAAGCAUAGCCUGGGUGGUGAGGAUCUCUGAUGAUAGAUGCUGCUUUUCUCCAGCAACAUUUCAUAUAAAUGUGCUCAAUGUCUGGAGAGCUUUACCCGUGAUAUACUGGGGAAAAUCCAGUUCCUUUUGUCGGAUUUUCCCUUCAGAGACCUUGGUGUUUGCAUACCAGGUCGUGCUGCAGCCAGUAAAUAAAUUCUCCACAACACAUCAGUAAAAGGUUCUCAAAGUUUUAGAUGUCAUGCCAAAGCUCCACAGAAAUCCUAAGGAAGUAGAAGCACAGCAAUGCUGUUCUUGGAAUUGCACUUGUGUUGGGUGUAAGACAGGUCCUCUGAAAUAGUAACACCCAGGAAUUUAAAGUUGCUAACCCUUUCCUCCUCUGAUGACGACUAGCUCAUGGACCUUUGGAUGCUGUAUCCUGAAGUCUACAGUCUGUUUCUUGGAUUUACUGACAUUGAGAGCUUGCUAUGACACCACUCAGACGAAUUUUCAGUCUCCCUCCUGUAUGAUGAUUUGUCACUACCUUUGAUUUGGGUCACAACAAUGGUGUCGUCAGCAAACUUGAUUAUGGUGUUGGAGCUGCACUUAGCCACACGUUAACAGGUGUAAAGUGAGCAUCCAGCCUUGUGAUGUACAUGUGCUCAUGGAGAACAUAGAGGGAUGUUAUUGCCAAUCCAAGUUGACUGGGGUCUACAAGUGAGGCAAUCUAGGAUCUAAUUGCACAAGGGUGUAUUGAAGCCAAGACCUUGGAGCUUUUUGAUGUCUUUGGGAUGGUGGUAGCAACUGCUAUUGAUAAAGAACAUCCCGAUGUUUGCACCUUUGCUGUCCAGAUGUUCUGGAGUUGAGUAAAGAGCCAAUGAGAUGGCAUCUGCAGCAGACCUCUUGCAAAUUGGAGCAGAACUAAGUGGCCUCUCAGGCAGGAGCUGAUAUGUUUCAUCACCAGCCUCACAAAACACUUCAUCACUGUAGAUGCAAGUGCAACUGGGUGAUAGUUUUUCAGGGAGAUCAUCUUUAACCCAAUAACAUGUCUUAUUGGAUUUACCAUUUAAGUCAUUGCAUCACCGAAUAACAUUCCAAUCUACCUUACAUUAGAGGGAUUGUAAAUUGUGUACUGCUGCCAUGACAAUAUAGAUUGACACACCCUACAAGUAUAAGAGAGACAUAAUUCCUCAAAAAUACCUGUAAGGUAAUUAUAAUGAGGCAUGUACGAAGUGUGGAGCAAUCUAAAAUAACUUCCAGUGAACGGAGAGAUAGGGAGCAAGGGCCCAGUGUGGCGCUCCUCUCCAGCAGAGGCAAGGGGCCAGACUAGAUCCUUUUUCUCAUCCUCUUUUCACUAGUUGUGCUACUUUGAACUUUUUUUUACAUGAAGUAGCUAUUAAAUUUUCUUAAGAUCAAUGCAUUACAAACAUUUUUAAAUGAAUUAUUUUUUUAAAGCAGCAUCCGUUAAUGACCUCCCAGCAUCCAAGCCAUGCUCUCUUCUUACUGCUGCAUUUGGGAAGGAGGUACAGGAGCCUCAGGACCAGUUGUUAUCCUACAACCAUCAGGCUCCUGAACCAACAUAGAUAACUUAGCUUGUCUCAACCCUGAACUAAUUGCAUGACCUAUGAACUCACUUUCAGAGACUCUAUACGUUUUGAAUUUUUAUUUGUUCACUUAUUUGUUUUUUUUUGUGUGUAUCUGCACAGUUUGUCUUCUUUUGAACAUUGGUUUUAUGUCCUUUGUUUAUGAGUAGUUUUCAUUAAUUCUAUUGUGUUUCUUUGUACUAAUUGUGAAUGCUGGCAAGAAAAUGAAGCUCAGGGUAGUAUAUGGUGACAUAUACUGUAUGUACACUGAUAAUAAAUUUAACUUGAACUUUAUCCAAUAUAGUUUAACCUUUUCAGUUAGGUCUGCGGACUCCUUGCAUAUUGGAGCCAGGCGAAGUGUGAUUUGGGUGUUGCCUCGUUUCUUCAGCAUUAAACAGUGAGGUUUGAGAUGGCGUUUACACUUUCUGCUGCCUGGAAUUUCCCCGUGGACCCUGAACAUCACAUGUCACAUUUACUGAUAUAUUGAUUACACCCAUUGAACCAGCGCAGCCCUAGAGGCUGGCACCAGUAUAAAACAAAUGAUUUUGUGUACAAUUCAUGGCCCCUGAUAUCAGUCCCUCCACUAACCUCCGGGUUCAAAUACUCAGCAUCAACGACAACUCAGUUCCUCAGAGUCAGAAUGACUCCAGAGACUUGUCUAACAAGUUCAUGGGUUACAUUAAAUGAUGAAGGAAUUACUUUUGAUGGAAUAUAAUUCAGAAUGCAUGUCGGGCGCAGUACAGGUCAACAGCUGACUGUCGUAGUGAUCAGGCCGCGGUGGUGGCAGAGUUUUCCAUUGUCUCAUUCACAAGGGGACAACGCUUUGGAAUUCCCUGCCCCGGAGGACCGCUUACUGAGAAUAUUCAUACGCAGGUGACCUUAUACAGAGGUCCUUGGAACUUCUCCAGACCGUGGACACCAACGAGCCAGAAGACGCAGAAGAGGUAGAGCUUCAUCAUUAACACUGGGCUUCUGUAAGCAGGGGUGCCGUUCGAACCGAUCACUUUGCCCACGUCCCAUUCCACUACGUGACUGUUUCCAUAAAACCCGAAUCCGCAGGGACUUGCUGCCCAGACAUGCUAACGGCCGCCGAGAAAGCCCACCAUAAGUGUUUUUCUCCCUCUCCAGCAGUUCCAGUUUCCCCUCCGCCUGUCUGCCGAUCUUGGAUCGAGAGCACUGAGACCGCAACUCACCUCUCAAGCAGGUGCCAGCGCUUCCGCCCAGAGAACAGUCGGUUCCGCUGGGUCCUACCGCCCGGCUUGAGAAAGAGGUCUCGGCUGACGCUAAAUCAGCAGUCGAAAGGAACAAUCCAGAGUCCAAGUGUAAAAAUGUUUCCCUGGUUAGUCUACAGCUCCCUGUUGAACCUUCUCCAAAAAGCCAAACUUUUAACUUUUAAACGCCUUUCACGUUCGCAAUGGGUCCCGAAGUAUCUGCCAAUGGUAAAUUAUUUUUGGAAUGCUGUUACUCACUGGCGCUGAAACUUUUAAUAAAAGCAAGGCCGGCCCUUA